GGUGGUUGUGGUACCAAAAGCAAGACCGACUCCAACCAAAAUAGAACUUGAAUCUAUGAAGAACAUCACUGGACCAGUUGUGAAGAAAGAAAUUCCAAAGGAGAAACCCAAACCUGAAGUGAAAGAACCUGAGGUUCCAAAGGAGAAACCCAAACCAGUCGUAAAAGAACCCGAGGUUCCAAAGGAGAAAUCCAAACCAGCUAUAAAAGAGCCUGAACCUCCCAAGGAGAAGGCCAAACCAGCUAAGAAAGAACCCGAGGUUCCAAAGGAGAAACCCAAACCAGUCGUAAAAGAAUCCAAGGUUCCAAAGGAGAAACUCAAACCAGCUAUAAAAGAACCCGAGGUUCCAAAGGAGAAACCCAAACCAGUCGUAAAAGAACCCGAUAUUCCAAAGGAGAAAUCCAAACCAGUUGUAAAAGAGCCUGAACCUCCCAAGGAGAAGGCCAAGCCAGCUAAGAAAGAACACGAGGUUCCAAAGGAGAAAGUCAAACCAGCUAUAAAAGAAACUGUGGUUCCAAAGGAGAAAGCCAAACCAGCCGUAAAAGAACCUGAGGUUCCAAAAGGUAAAGCCAAACCUGUUCCAGAAAAGAAAGAAGCUGAGCUUCCAAAGAUGAAAGCAAAGCCAGCGCCAGAAGUGAAAGAGCCUCCAAGAGAGAAGGCCAAAUCAGCUAAGAAAGAACCUGAGAUUCCAAAGGAGAAGGCCAAACCUGCUAAGAAAGACCAAGAAGCUCCGAAGGAAAAAGCCAAGGCUGCCCCAGCAGUAAAAGAGCCUGUAACUCCAAAGGAGAAGGCCAGACCACCUAAGAAAGAACCUGAGGUUUCAAAGGAGAAAAUCAAACUGGAAAGGAAGGAACCCGAGGCUCCGAAGGAAAAAGCUAAGCCUGAACCAACAAAGAAAGAAUUUGAUUCUCUCUCAAAUAUUACAAAAGCAACUCUGGGAAAGAAAGAACUAGUGGUACUGAAAGAGAGGCCAAGGCUCGCACCAGUUACAGAAGAGCCUGAAAUCCCAAAGAAGGCCAAACCUGUAAAGAAAGAGCCCGUGGCACCAGUUGAAUCUGUUGUACCAGCACCUACAAAGGAAGAACCACCCAAACCAGACGGCCUUGGUGUAGAGGAAGAGGAGGAUAUCCCCUACUUCCAGUGCUUCUUUGUAGACGAAGACGACACGCACUACCCGUUCUUCCCGUUCUCGCCGCCACAAAUCUGAGACCCUGCCAUCCACAGAUGAUCUUGAAAAGCCUGAGCCCUAUGGAAGAAGCUUGGUGGCACAUCGAGUCACAACAUUACCUUUAUCACUGGGCUGUGCGAUAGUGACCACUGCUUCGACGCGGUUCAUUCAUCAGCUGGUGUCCUUUAAUGAAACUCAAGGACUGAAAAUGACAAAUGGUGGUGACCGUCCGUACACCUCGAUAUGCUUUUAACAGACCACAGAAGCAGGAGAUACCAUCUUUUCCCCAGGUGUUGAAAAAACCUUAAACAUUUCUCUGUUAGUAUAUCAGUAAAGGUUUAGCUUACAUUUAGUUGUUACAGUACAGUUCAUGAAAGGUUAGGAUGUCAUCUUAUGUUUAAAUAAACACUUCAGCCUUGUCUUAUUUUAAUCUAUGUUUGUCUUGACAAUGGCUAAAUAGUUUCAAUUCGAAGUUGUAGAUGAAAAAAAAAAAUUCACAGUUUGUGCGGUGCACUGUUGCAUUAUAAAAUGUUUAAGUAAUUUCACACCAACAAAGUUACAGACAUGGAGGUAAGGGACCCGAGCGACCAGCAAAAGAACAAGGCUGAGUUUUCUCUGAGCCCCUCCAUGUCGUACGUUUCCUCUGCUCUGUUUCCCGACCAGACCAGGAAGGGCGGGCUGUUAUUAACCUGAAAGAGCUAUCGCAGGUACCGACCACUGCAUUACUACUACCUGACAACCCCUUUGUGGGCAUAUCUAACAGUACGUCUGUGUCUCUACACAGAUGAAAAAGUCUUAUUUCUACAUCUAAAUGCUUCUCAUUUUGACAGGAUGCUGAUUCAAAGCAUUCCAUUAUAUUAGCCGUCAGAAUGAGGUUUUCUUUGUUGUUGUCCUUUUUUUCUUUUUUAAAAAGGCCACCUUUCAAUUGACUUGAAGUUAUAUUUAACAACAUUUUUGUUCUUUUUUUUCAACAAGUAAUGGACGUUGGUGGAUGUUCAGCUUGUUAGGAUGUCAUCUUAUGUUUAAAUAAACACUUCAGCUGUUUGGCUCUACAGAUUAAGAAAAAGACACGUCUUUUAACAUAUUUUUUAAUUGUGAAGUCGCACAUGUAAGGAAGAAGUACAAAUAUUGCAUAAUUAUAUUAAUAUUUUAUAUAACUUUUUUUAUAUAGUAAUAUCUUAUAAUGAGACCUAAUAAUAGGGAUGGAUUAUUAUUUUGCCUUGUGCCUUUUUCCAAGAAUAUAUCAACGCUUAAAGUCAGGAUUACUGAUUCUGCUUAUCUUGAGAUUUUAUUGGACAACAAGAAAAUAAUUCAAUUCAAGUAAUUAUGCCUAAUUAUGGAGUUAAUUUACCAACCUUGUAACCUAUUUCUAUAUUUGUCUCAAUGAUUCUGGAAGGUUAAAAUACAGGAUCUCUUAAGUCACGCACUACCAAUCUAACACAAGCAACUAUAUAAGUAUGUAAAUGUACAAACAUUGCUUUUAUCUGAUUCUUUUUUUUCAUAGAGAUCAGAAGUCAUGUUUCAUUUCAUCCAUUGAAUCAAAGAGAUAGGAGUUCUUUUCAUUACUUGUGUUUUAGUUUGACAGAGUAAGUACGAGGUAACACUGUCAUCUCAUUUCACCCUUUCUGUUUCCCUGGACAGCAUAAUUGUGUUAUUGUUAUGGCAUAUCGACGGAAAUUAGCUUUCUGUGUCCCUGGACAGCAUCAUAGUGUUACUGUUACGGCAUAUCGACGGAAAUUUGCUUUCUGUGUCCCUGGACAGCAUCAUAGUGUUACUGUUACGGCAUAUCGACGGAAAUUUGCUUUCUGUGUCCCUGGACAGCAUCAUAGUGUUACUGUUAUGGCAUAUCAAUGGGAAUUUGCUUUCUGUGUCCCUGGACAGCAUCAUAGUGUUACUGUUACGGCAUAUCGACGGAAAUUUGCUUUCUGUGUCCCUGGACAGCAUCAUAGUGUUACUGUUAUGGCAUAUCAAUGGGAAUUUGCUUUCUGUGUUCCUGGACAGCAUCAUAGUGUUACUGUUACUGCAUAUCGAUGGGAAUUUGCUUUUGGUAGUUGUCCACCCUAAUGUCAACACAACAUUUUGUGAUUUUAGAGGGCAGCUCCCAUAAAGGGCAUAUGAGACAAGUUGACAAAUAGUAGGGACCAUACACCGAGUAUAGGACAUUGAGACGGUCACUUAUAAUGGUGCAAAACAUUGGCCAAGUAAACAAGACCCUUUGUUGUUAUUUUUUUUUAUUUUAUUUUUUUUAUUCAUUUUUAUAAGAACAGAAAUGUUUGACUGUGUUUGCCUGUUCAUGAUAGAUCAUGUUCAGUGCAAAUGUGAUAUCCUCAAGACAACCUGAACUUGACAUCAGACCAAAUCAGACCAGCGCUGUGUCAAUUUCACUGUGGGCUUUAGUUAAAAAAAAGUUUAAAAAAAAUAUGGUUGUCAAUGAAAUGUGACACUGAUGCUAAUGGUUUGUGGUCUUCAGAUUCAGGGCAGCAUUUUGAGGGUCCAUAGCAUGGUGUCAAUAUACCAACACAGUCCAUGUGUAUCUAUUCCAGGGGGCAAAGUGGGCCGCUGGCUAUCUGGCAUGCCCUCAUUCACUCACAGUUGUUUUCAACUCUGCAAGUAAAGCAUGCUAGGUAGUUGGUAGCUCAUAUUUAUGAGAAUAACUAUACACAGGUGACAUCAAGACUUUAAUGCCAUGUUAACGCCCUUGAGUUGAAGCCCUCUGUAUUAAUCUAGCAGAUUUUGUUUACACAGCUGUAUUUUGAAAGGUCAGAGGGAUAUGUUUACAUUGCCACAACAAAAUAUUUACUUACAGUACUGAAUGAAAUAUCGAGAAAAUGGUCUGAUGAUAGUGUAGUCUAUCUUGAUUAUUGUUAUAAUGGUCACUUAAAAAUAUUGUGAAAAUUUAAGUAUUAUUAGAGAGACAACAUUAUGGUGUGUGAUGUGACAAUAACUUGAUUUAUUGUUGAAGUAUUAUUGAGACGAAAGAAACGAGAGCUCUAUGAUCGACGUUGUGCAAAUUGUCUGACCAGUGGUCAACUUCAUGGUCUUGUGCUACGUCUGACAGACAUGCAGUGGAGUAUCUUAUGUCGUCAUCUCAAGUCAGGUGUCAAACAGUAGCUGAACUCUAAUAUGGCUUCUGUGCCAGUAUAGACACACUACUGAUGAAACCUUUUAAAUGAACGAGAAAUGCUACUUGGACUAUUUGAACAAGUAGCCUAGUCAGCUGCAUGAUGUGUGAUAGUUUGGCGCUUCCAAACAUACUAGCCAACUGAACUAGAAGUUCAGAGAAAUGACAUGCUGUAUAUGUAUAGUACUACUAGAAUCAGGUGUGUUUAACUGGAGUUAUGUGUUUAAUUACUUAAAAGCGUUACUUUAACCAUGUUUUCAGGACUUAUUUGAAUAUUCACUCUAAAAUAUGAAAUAUAUAAAAUAUACAUGUGCAGAAAAUGGCAUAGAAUUACAGUGAAUAACCCAAAGAUUUGUGUUUAGCAUUUUAAUUCGUAUUCUUGUGUAUGUAUGCUUUUAUGAAUAUGCAAUAUUCAACAAGAUAUAUUGGGUUAAAUAUUCAAAGGAUUUACUCAUUGUUUCACUUUAGGUAUUUAGCCUAGUCAAGAUGUUUCAGUACUGUAUUUUACAUACAAAUACAUGUACACUGCAGCUGCAACAGUAUAACAUGUUGUUGUAGUUCACAAGCCUUCUAAGGGGGUUAGUGUAAAUCCCUACUUCAGAUCUUCACAUUUUGUAAGGAGUUUCAGUAUAUCAGUCAGAUUGGUGUGAUAGCCAAUGCAUGUACAUUUUGCGAUAGCCAGUACAUGUUUUAAUGGUAAGAAUUAUGGUAACUUAACAAUAAUUGUCAAAUAAGUGCUGUAUAAGUUCAAAGGCUAUCUGGUUUCAUGAAUUGUCAUUAUUGCACUUUAUAUGGUGGUUUUAACCUGUUGCAAUGGGGCCAGUUGACUCCCCCUAACUGUACUGAUAUAUUUGAGUUUCCCCUUUUAAAAGAAAAACAUCAGAACUGCACAUAAUAUCAAUACUGGGUACAUUUGUUGAUUAAACUCAUCAAUGGAGUUAUAACUAUGUAGAAGUUUGUCAAGAAUGUUUAAUAAACUGCUUCUGUAGUGAAAAUUAUUUGUUUUCUAUUUGUGCUGGACAUAUGACAGUAUAAGUAUAAGUCAUUUUUAAAGAAAUUCAUCAGCAUUUGCUUUUAUGUUUGCCACUAGGUGUCACCAUUUCACACAAGCGUUGGCCAAAGUCUUUGGUGUCACAAUGCAAGUAUUUAAGUUUUAAAGCACGCUGAUUUCUUUACCGCCAUAAGUAAUCUCUAAUGUUUUUCGGUUAUCUUUUUUAAGUCUUACAUACAUAUUUGUUUCACAGACUUUUCAGUUGGAAAAAAUAUGUUCCUGACGUACAGCAAAUUAAAAUUCUGCACUGACAUUUAACAAUACAAUACAAAACACUACCCCAAUAUUUAUCCCACACUGGUUUAUAGUACGCUAGCUGAAAUCGUUCAACCCCUAACUCUUCAGGAAAGCCCCACAUAUGUCUGAACCCUUGCAGAGACCUCAUCAGAGUCACUACAGCCUUGGGCUGAAUCACACUAGUCCUCUACCAACCAUAAUUAAGUCCCAUGCUCCGGAACUCAGCUUCGUUUGGGGCUGACUCCUCUGUUCUAUUCUCUUAGCUGUCCAUGGGCUGUCUGUUGUUCCCAUGGAAGACAUGGAGAGAUUCCAAUCGUCCCCUUUGUCUUUUCACAGGGACACAAGCAGACACUCUUUCAGGACACUUGGCACCGAGCGUCAGUGAUGUCACACGCAAACCUCA
ensembl:lncRNA